UUUCGGUUCGCACCGUCUUCGCGCGAACCGAAAGAUCCAAUUGCCUGCGGCGAGAGUGCACUCAGAGCGCACUAGUUUUCCCAAAGAAAAACGCUAUAAUAGAUAACUUAUUGUAGAAAGCCUUUUAAGUAUAAACUAGGAUAAUGCAUUGCAUUUGUCUGCAUAAUUUUAUAACACAACCUGUAUUUUCUUAACCAUGUGUAUCAGGCUGCGGUUUCACUCGUUCAGGAAAUGUGUUUGAUUGUUGCAAAGUUUAAAUUAACGAUCCGGGCAAUCAAUAAAUACUCCUGGUACGCAGAACAAUAGCCGGGAAUGGGUAUGAAACCGUUGCAAUCUGAUGGUUGAAUAAACCACAUGGGCAAGAUUCAAACAAUGCACGUUAACUCAAAUGAAUCAGAUGGGAACAGAAAAUGUUCCUCCACAAAUGAAUAAAAUGGUGCCUGGACAAAUACAACAAAAUAUGCAGUUUCAGAUGCAGAAUCAGUUACCAGAUCAAAUAUAGUAUCAUAAUACGGGACCAAUAGUCAGUAUACAGACUAGUACACCGCAACAAUUGAGUCAAAUUGACUCUGGACAAUUAGGUCGUGGUCAGAUGCAGCAGCAGUUAAACCAUAUUCAAAGAAAGCUGGGUGAAAUGAUGAAUACUGGAUUUCAUAGCCCACAUAACGUUACGCCGAAUCAAUUUUUGAGACAGAGUCCAUCUCCUUCAGCUCCAAGCUUAGCUCGUUUAUUGGAUACAUUAAACUAUAUGUAUGGACCGUCUCCAAAUAAAUCGUAAAAUAAUCCUGAAAGUGUAGACUCAACACAAAGUCCUCAGCAAGAAAAUCAGGUUUACAGAGAUAAAGUCAAACAGCUAAGCAAAUAAAUAGAGAAGAAUGAUUGUCAAGAUGAGCAGUGAAGGAAAUGUCGACUCGGCAAGAUCAAGAAACUGUUGAAAAUUCUAUCAAGUCCCAAUAAACGUAUGCCAUUGGAUAUAAUGCGAAGUUGUCCUGGAAAAAUUAGACUUCAAGAGAGAAGAUUGUAAUGUAAUAAGUGACGAUGUUGGAGGAACAUCAAAUUUUCAGUCCGCUAUUAGAAGCUGUUAGCGCACAUUUCCAAUAUCUGGUUAACAAUCACACAUUGCAACGCACUUUUGAACCAUGUUUGGUUGCCUUAGCCAGUUUUUCGACUGUUUAUACCAGCAUAUAUAUUAGGUUAUGGAACGAUGUUAGUAAUUGUCUACAAUACAUUACUUGAAAUAAUCUGAGCAUAUCAAAUAUUCUGCUAAAAAUAAUUAAGUAUUGUAUUCAUAUCAAAAUAGUUGAAAUGCCUAGUGUAAACAAAAGUAGUAAGCGGAUUUAAUACGGAUAUAGUAUUUAAGUUGCAUUCUAAAAUUCUCUGAGUGUACUGAAAACUUAUUGUUUACAUUACAUAUAUUUAGUACUCUGAGACUGGUAUUCAUUGUCGAUUUCAAGAUCACCUUAUGUGAUGUAAAGAUGCUAAUAUGGCUCUGACUUGUUGAUAACUUGAUUUCUUUUUAGUAAUAUACAUUAAUUUUAAUUUCAACUUACACUCAAUUGCAUAAUCCAACUUGUUUUCUCAACCAUAAAUUGUGAUAUUUUACAUUAAAAGUUUUAAGAAUUUUAUAGAAACUCUUUUAUUUAUUUAAAUUGAAGAUAUAAUAUGUAACGUACAAAUAUUUUGUUUCACAUAACACUUUUAUGGUGGUUAUUUUAAAUCAAUAAACGAUAACCGCAUUGUAUUAUUGAAAUUAACAAUAUACCAUCACAUAUAAAUAAACUACAUCAAACACAUUUCCUAAACGAGUGAAACCGUAACCUGAUACUCAAGGGCUUUCUACAAUAAGCCAUUAAUCAUUACUCAUAAGCGUAAACCGUAAGAAUUGAUCAAUCACAUUCUAAUGUGAGGAGAAUAUUCGACAACUAAUUGGUCAAUUCUUACGGUUUACGUUUACAACUAAUAGUUAAUGAGUUAUUGUAGAAAGCCCUUAACAUUGAUGCGCGUAUUAAGGGUGCAUUCCAUUAUUCAAUCAGGUUGGUAUUCAUAAUCAAUUCAUUAUUAAGAUUAUCCAAAGUGCAAUCUUAAGAUGUUAUCAACAAAUCAGAGCUGUAUUAGCAUCUUUACAUUACAUAAGGUGAUCUUGAAAUAAGAAUCAACAAUGAAUAUCAGCUUCAGAGUACUGAAUAUACAUAUGUAAUGUAAACGAUAAGUUUUCAGUACACUCAGAAUUUUAGAAUGCAACUUAAAUACUAUAUCCGUAUUAAAUCGCUUAAUACUUCGUUUACACUAGGCAUUUCAACUAUUUUGAUAUAAAUACAAUACUUAAUUAUUUUUAGCAAAAUAUUUGAUAUGCUCAGAUUAUUACAGCGUUUAUUUCCAUGAAAAUUGUGCAUAUCUAUAAAAGGAAGUGCUUCUGCAAUUGAAAGGUCAAGAAUAUGAAUAUGUUUAUUCUUUUUAGCUGAACUGAUUGUUCUAAUCUGCAUUGUUCAGAAUUUAUCUUCCUUCUUUCAACAAGAAGAGAAAAGAAUGAACUGUGAAGUAGUGCAGUCAGUUUAAUUAAAAAAACAGACCUCAUGUGAAAUGUUACAUAGUUUAAUAUUAUAAAGUCUGUUUGCAUCACAAGUCUGUUUAAAUUAAUACAAAGUAAUCUCAAUUCAACUUUCUGUGUUUUUGACAAUAUAAUGCAAUAAAUGCUCUUCAUGACUUGAUUUUUUUUUUUAAAUAGAGACAUCACAUAUGACAAAUAAACAAUUUCAUAAGUAUUAAAAAUAUUGAACAAA